rnacentral:piRNA from 1 species
UGCUGAUGCAAGUUGUCCCCCAAGGCC